rnacentral:rRNA from 1 species
CGGUGACGAGGAGCUUGCUCCUCUGAUCAGUGGCGAACGGGUGAGUAACACGUGAGCAACCUGCCCCAGACUCUGGGAUAACAGUUGGAAACAGCUGCUAAUACCGGAUACGAGACGGAGAGGCAUCUCUACCGUCUGGAAAGUUUUUCGGUCUGGGAUGGACUCGCGGCCUAUCAGCUAGUUGGUGAGGUAAUGGCUCACCAAGGCGACGACGGGUAGCCGGCCUGAGAGGGCGACCGGCCACACUGGGACUGAGACACGGCCCAGACUCCUACGGGAGGCAGCAGUGGGGAAUAUUGCACAAUGGGCGAAAGCCUGAUGCAGCGACGCCGCGUGAGGGAUGACGGCCUUCGGGUUGUAAACCUCUUUCAGCAGGGAAGAAGCGAAAGUGACGGUACCUGCAAAAGAAGCACCGGCUAACUACGUGCCAGCAGCCGCGGUAAUACGUAGGGUGCGAGCGUUGUCCGGAAUUAUUGGGCGUAAAGAGCUUGUAGGCGGUUUGUCGCGUCUGCAGUGAAAAUCCGAGGCUCAACCUCGGACUUGCUGUGGGUACGGGCAGACUAGAGUAUGGUAGGGGAGACCGGAAUUCCUGGUGUAGCGGUGGAAUGCGCAGAUAUCAGGAGGAACACCGAUGGCGAAGGCAGGUCUCUGGGCCAUAACUGACGCUGAG